UACGUAGGGGGCAAGCGUUAUCCGGAUUUACUGGGUGUAAAGGGAGCGUAGACGGUUAUGCAAGUCAGAAGUGAAAGCCCAAAGCUCAACUUCGGGACUGCUUUUGAAACUGUGUAACUAGAGUGCAGGAGGGGUAAGCGGAAUUCCUAGUGUAGCGGUGAAAUGCGUAGAUAUUAGGAGGAACACCAGUGGCGAAGGCGGCUUGCUGGACAGUAACUGACGUUGAGGCUCGAAAGCGUGGGGAGCAAACAGG
rnacentral:rRNA from 1 species